UACGUAGGGUGCGAGCGUUGUCCGGAAUUAUUGGGCGUAAAGAGCUCGUAGGCGGUGUGUCGCGUCGGCCGUGAAAACCUGGGGCUUAACUCUGGGCGUGCGGUCGAUACGGGCAUCACUAGAGUUCGGCAGGGGAGACUGGAAUUCCUGGUGUAGCGGUGAAAUGCGCAGAUAUCAGGAGGAACACCGGUGGCGAAGGCGGGUCUCUGGGCCGAUACUGACGCUGAGGAGCGAAAGCAUGGGGAGCAAACGGG
rnacentral:rRNA from 1 species